rnacentral:rRNA from 1 species
GCAAGUCGUGCGAGAAAGGGAGCAAUCCUGAGUAAAGCGGCGAACGGGUGAGUAACACGUGGUUAACCUGCCUAGAUGUGGGGGAUACCCCGGGGAAACCCGGGACAAUACCGCAUGAUGUCUCUCGGGCGUCGGCCUGGGAGAGCAAAGCCGGGGACCGCAAGGCCUGGCGCAUUCAGAGGGGACCGCGGCCGAUUAGCUAGUUGGCGGGGUAAUGGCCCACCAAGGCAUCGAUCGGUAGCCGGCCUGAGAGGGUGAACGGCCACACCGGAACUGAGACACGGUCCGGACUCCUACGGGAGGCAGCAGUGGGGAAUUUUGCGCAAUGGGCGAAAGCCUGACGCAGCAACGCCGCGUGGAGGAUGAAGGUGCUCUGCAUUGUAAACUCCUGUCGGCCGGGAAGAAUCGGCGGGGUGCUAAUCAGCCCCGUUUUGACUGUACCGGCAAAGGAAGCCCCGGCUAACUCCGUGCCAGCAGCCGCGGUAAUACGGAGGGGGCAAGCGUUACUCGGAAUUAUUGGGCGUAAAGGGCGCGUAGGCGGUCUUGUGCGUCGAGGGUGAAAUCCCCGGGCUUAACCCGGGAACUGCCUUCGAUACGGCGAGACUUGAGUCCGGGAGAGGGGAGCAGAAUUCCCAGUGUAGCGGUGAAAUGCGUAGAUAUUGGGAGGAAUACCAGUGGCGAAGGCGGCUCCCUGGACCGGUACUGACGCUGAGGCGCGAAAGCGUGGGUAGCAAACAGGAUUAGAUACCCUGGUAGUCCACGCCGUAAACGAUGGGUGCUUGGUGUCGGGGGUAUCGACCCCUCCGGUGCCGAAGCUAACGCAUUAAGCACCCCGCCUGGGGAGUACGGUCGCAAGGCUGAAACUCAAAUGAAUUGACGG